rnacentral:rRNA from 1 species
AUGUUGCCCCCUCCGCGCCGCGGCCCGGCGUACAAGACCAAGAUGUGCGCGUUGUGGCAGAACGGCAACUGCGACCGCGAGCUCUGCAGCUUCGCCCACGGCACGGCCGAGCUCCGCCGGCCCCCCUCCUCCCGGCCCACCUUCCCGCCCCACCACGCCGGGAGAAGAGAUUAUAGAGGUGGUGAUUUCAGAGGCAGGAUUGAAAGGAGGUUCUCACCUCGCAGGAGGCAUUCCCCUGGAAGAGAUUUCAGGGGUCAUCGUUCCCUACACGAUCGAAGGCCAACUUCUCGAGAAAGGGAGUCUAGCUUUUCACGGUCUCCCAGCAGGAAGAGUGAGAGGAGGCAUGAAAAGAAGAUGGAUGAUGGAGAAACCAACUCAUCUAAGAGUUCUCCUAUCUCUGAUAAUAAUGAUAGGAAAAAGGAAAAAGUCACUAGUGGUGACGAGAAAGAGGAUUAUGAAAAGGAGUUGAAACAAGUUAGAUCAGAUAUGGAGGCUUUGCGUGACGAUAAAUCUCAUCUCGAGAUUGUUUUGGAUGAGAAAAUGGACGAAGUGCGCAGGAUUUCUAGCCAAGUAAGUGACCUUGAUCAGCAGCUGAGGAGGGAGAAAGAAGAAUGUCAUAGAAUGACGUCAAAAAUGAAGAAGUUCCUAAAAGCUCAUGUCCGUUUUAUGAAAGCUCGGGAGGAGUUGAAAAGGUCACAAGCUCGUUUUGAGAGACUUGGUGAUAUGCUUGCUUCAGAAAUUUUAAAGCGUGGUGCUAAUGAAGAAGCUUCCAGCGUCCAUGUUGAUGAAGAUCUAAAUGGACCUUAUGAAAGGAGUCCAAAUGCUACUCCAGCUAAAAAGAGAUCAAUCCCAUACUCAACUAGUGAUGAGGCAAAAGCUGCUAAGAAAAGAAGAGAGCGAGAGACUGAUGCAUUCACUAGAUCAGAUAAAUAUAGGUCAGAAGGCGACAUUACAGACUAUGAUAAAACAAUUAAGGGUAGUGAUGGAACAAAAUCUAUAUAUUUGAAGAAGAGACUGUGGGAAGAUGAAAAGAAUAAGCUUGGAAAUGCUGCUUCCUCUGCAGACCAGGUGAAAGAUUCUCCAGUGAAGCACGCUUUGCCCUCCACUGGUAUGGCUGCUCGUGCCUUAUAUGACCUUAACGAGGCAGUUGAACUGGAUGAUAGAAACGAACAGAUAGAUGCAUUGCUAGAAAACGAUGCUGACGGGACUAGAUCGCCUGUACCUCCAGUGGGCCAAAAUGCCUUUGAGCAGUAUGAGGACCUCGACGAGGAAGUGGAUGUGGACGUAUAA